UGUAAUUAGGUGAUGUUGGACUGUAAGGACUGGAAGGAGACAACCUUGGACUACUUGGUGAGUAUGCCAGAGACGGACUGUACUUGGCUGACUGCGGGUUGUAACUUGGAGAGGUAGGGCUAUAGCUUGGUGAUGUGGGACUGUAACUUGGUGAGGUUGGACUGUACCCAGGAGAAGUGGGGCUAUAAGCGGGUGAAGUGGGGCUAUAGGAAGGAGAUGUGGGGCUAUAGGAAGGAGAUGUGGGGCUGUACGAAGGAGAUGUAGGGCUGUAUGAUGGAGAUGUCGGGCUGUAUGAUGGAGAAGUGGGGCUAUAUGCAGGAGAAGUGGGGCUAUAUGCAGGUGAAGUGGGGCUAUAUACGGGUGAAGUGGGGCUGUAGCUAGGUGAAGUGGGACUGUAACUGGGGGAUGUGGGACUGUAACUUGGAGAUGUAGGGCUGUAACUUGGAGAGGUAGGGCUAUAGCUUGGUGAGGUUGGAGAAUAUGAGGGGCUGGUAGGAGAGUAGGCUGGACUUGUCGGACUGUAUCCUGGUGAGCUAGGACUGUAAGUAGGUGAUGUGGGGCUGUAACCAGGAGAGGUGGGACUGUACCCAGGAGAUGUAGGACUGUAACCAGGAGAGGUAGGACUGUAACCAG
rnacentral:lncRNA from 1 species